rnacentral:tRNA from 1 species
GCGGGGCCUGGGCGGGCAGGCCGCUGGCCUGCUGGGCCACCGCGAGCGGGGCGUGCUCGUGGGCGACGAGUUCGGCGAGCCGGUGCCGCACC